CUUGAUGGCUCAGUGGUAAAGAAUCUGCCUGCAAUGCAGAAGAGGCAGGUUCGAUUCCUGGGUCGAGA
rnacentral:tRNA from 1 species